AGUAUGAAAAAUAAAUCUUAUACAUAUAAUAUAGAAUCUGUUAAAAAAAGGGAGCAGAAAAUAAAAAAUAUUACUCGUUCUAUAAAAAAUUUAAAUAUUUAAUGUUUAUAAUAAAGUUGUUUCUUAAUAUAAACAUACUUAGAUGUAUAAUAAUAACUAUUAAAAUUAUAAAGAUUUUAUAAACCGUACCCUAAACCAACACAGGUGGAUAGGUCGAGUAGACUAAGGUGUAUGAGAUAAUUAUGUUGAAGGAACUCGGCAAAAUGACUCUGUAACUUCGGGAGAAAGAGUACCUUUUUAUAAAUUAACUAUUAUAAGAAG
rnacentral:rRNA from 1 species